AGCUCACGGAACAAUGAAUGCAA
rnacentral:miRNA from 1 species